rnacentral:rRNA from 1 species
UGGGGAAUAUUGCGCAAUGGGGGGAACCCUGACGCAGCCAUGCCGCGUGAAUGAAGAAGGCCUUCGGGUUGUAAAGUUCUUUCGGUAUUGAGGAAGGUUGAUGUGUUAAUAGCACAUCAAAUUGACGUUAAAUACAGAAGAAGCACCGGCUAACUCCGUGCCAGCAGCCGCGGUAAUACGGAGGGUGCGAGCGUUAAUCGGAAUAACUGGGCGUAAAGGGCACGCAGGCGGUUAUUUAAGUGAGGUGUGAAAGCCCUGGGCUUAACCUAGGAAUUGCAUUUCAGGCUGGGUAACUAGAGUACUUUAGGGAGGGGUAGAAUUCCACAUGUAGCGGUGAAAUGCGUAGAGAUGUGGAGGAAUACCGAAGGCGAAGGCAGCCCCUUGGGAAUGUACUGACGCUCAUGUGCGAAAGCGUGGGGAGCAAACAGGAUUAGAUACCCUGGUAGUCCACGCUGUAAACGCUGUCGAUUUGGGGGUUGGGGUUUAACUCUGGCGCCCGUAGCUAACGUGAUAAAUCGACCGCCUGGGGAGUACGGCCGCAAGGUUA